GUGUGGAACAUGAACACCAUAUAAACCCUCAGAGCCUCCCAGUCCCGGCACAAAACCUCCUCGAGCCAAGGUAGCUGACCUGGUGGUGCUCUGCUUCGGGGAGGGCCUACACAUGUUCACACCCUGGCCUCCAGGCAAAUAGUGUUAGACGCAGCACCCAGUCGGGAGAGGCAGAGGGCCUCCCAAGGCACACUGCUGCAGGGUGAGGUCACUCAGAGUCAGCUGUUCUGCAGAAAGAGCUGAGUGUUGAACAGAGGAGUACGGAAAGGAGAGCACUGAUGGGUUUCGAAAACCGAAGCCAGAGCGAUGAGGCUCCUGCCUAAUUGUCUCUCCCUCUGAGACAGAUUCAGGGUCUGGAGGAGGGUCAAAAGAUUCACUUCUGAAGAGGUGGAGAAGCAGUCACUUCUUACCUCAAAGAACACCAUGCCACUGCCCUGUGUUUGGAGAAACGCAGAGCUUCUCGCUGUCGAGCGGGACCUGGUGAUUCAUCCAAGGUCAGUGCCGGCAGUUGAGGGAGGAGCUCCAGCAGCUCCUGAGGCAGCCUUCACUUUGCCCCCAGGGCCUGCACACACUGGAGGGGGACAGUCUGCUCCUGAGAACAAGACACCUGCCCUGCCGAAGCUGUGUUUCCUGGAAGCUUGCCUGGCUUCUCCAGCUGGGGAGUUUCGAAGACUCAUGAAGCAACACUUCCUGAAACUGAAACUUCUUCACCAGAGGCCGGUGGCCAGUUUCCCUGGGCGUGCGAGGGUCACCGCGCAUUGGGCCCCGGGGACGGCACCCUUGAUCCAUCUGCCUGGCACCGGGUCGGUGAAUGCCUUCGGGAAAGCAGAGCCAUCGCUAUGAGGACAUGGAGAGAAGAGCUCCAUGCUGCUGCAAUGCAGCCCUGACAACGGACGGCAGAGCGGCCGGCAGCCCCACCUCGCCCGUCCCGGGCCGUGGUCCGGGUGAGGACCAGUUUCUGAAUCCGCCUCGGACCGCCACCGAUCUAUGCCACUCCCUCUUUUAUGUACUUUCAGCCGUAACUUCCUUGAUACCGUUAGCAGCAGGGAAAAGAAAGCCUCAGUUUUUACACGUCAAAGCAUGAUAUUCUGUUAUAAAAUAAUUUUGCAGGUAACUUUUCCAACUGAAACGUUGCUUCUUAAUAAAUCAGUAAAUAAUGCAAUAUGUAUAUACACAAAUAAAAAAUCUCAUGAAUUAAAGAGCUCUGUUUUCUAUACACUCUAAAGAAGAAUUAUGCUUUCUUUUACAAAGAGU
rnacentral:lncRNA from 1 species